GAAAUGCGAUAAUUAAUGUGAAUUGCAGAAUUCAGUGAAUCAUCGAGUCUUUGAACGCACAUUGCGCCCCCUGGUAUUCCGGGGGGCAUGCCUGUCCGAGCGUCAUUGCUGCCCUCAAGCACGGCUUGUGUGUUGGGCUUCCGUCCCUGGCAACGGGGACGGGCCCAAAAGGCAGUGGCGGCACCAUGUCUGGUCCUAGCGUAUGGGGCUUUGUCACCCGCUCCCGUAGGUCCAGCUGGCAGCUAGCCUCGCAACCAAUCUUUUUAACCAGGUUGACCUCGGAUCAGGUAGGGAUACCCGCUGAACUUAAGC
rnacentral:misc_RNA from 1 species